GCAAAGACAGAAGCAGAAGCAGAAGCAGCGACUGAGGCGGAGGCAGAGCAGCCGGAGCCAGAGCUAGAGCCAGAGCCUGUCCCAAUGACCGAGUGGCUCUCCUUCGGUUUGUAGUUAGUGUUGUUGUUGUUGCUAUUGGUAUCGCUGCUACUGCUGCUGCCACUAACUGUUGUUGUCGUUGUCCCUGUAACGGGAAACUGGCACAGCCCGAAGGCGGACGAAGUGCCAUCCGAAGCUGAACCGAAGCUUAAACGAAGCGUUGCCGAAGCCGCUGCCGAACCGAACUGAACGAAAGUCGCACUCUGCGGACGCACACGCGAUGCGGCAGCUGACAGUUUCAGUAAACCACGGAGACGAACGGAUUACGGGCGACGCUGGCGAAAUUGAAACUAAAACAGCAACAGGAAACCACAAAUAAUAAUAAUAAUAAUAAUAUUAGAUAUAUAAUACGGAAACCCCCAUUACAAUAAUAGCAACAGUUGAAGCGAAAGGCAAAACAAAUCCCCCAAACAACAACACAUACACCCACAUAAUAAUAACAGUAAUAAUAGA